CAGACAGACAAGCUUAAGUACAGCAAGAGACGCCAAGAGACGCCGUCAGCGGUCCGUCCGAGUCUGUGAUCCUGCGUGCUCUUACCACCGUGGUCUACUGUGGCAUCCACUUCCGCGAAGAGGGCGUGCUCCAUGGAGCUGCCUGGACUGAGGUCGAAGCGGCGUUCAGCAAAGCAGUUCCAUUACGGUCAUGGCGGCGAUGGGCCACGCCGUGGACCACGUAGGUCUGUGCAAGUGGACGCUGCUCACCCAGUGUGGCAAUCAGUCGCGUGCUCCGGUGAUAUGCCGUUAUAGACUCGUCCGCGACGGUUGCCGCCAUCGCUGCGUCCCUGGUGACACUGAUGGUGAAGGAGCUCAACAUAACCGGGUUCAAAACAACCGCAACGCGACGAAGUCGCGUGCCGUGGUGGAGUGAUGUGCUCCUCAGUGACGCAGUCAUGGCUGCCUACCUGCUGUCACGAAGG